GUGGGGCCUUGGGCCUUCUUUUGGAAGAUCUGGGUCUCUCUGACCCAGCUGCAGUUUGUUAGUUGUAGAAUUUCCACUCAGCCAGCCUUCCUGUGGCAGGGACUUCUUUCUAUAUAAGUCCGCAUCCUUCUGGCUUGGAGAGUGCACUUUCCACUGAAGACUGUUUCUACUGCUAGAGCUGAGACUCUGAACCAUCCUGGAGCAGAGCACAGUGGAGCAGAGCAGAGCUGCCUAAGUGAAGAGGGACCUGGACCUGGCCCAAAGGCAGCUUCAUAGCCUUGCUGUUUUAAAAGUCACACUGUAGCACUAUUGAGCUGUUUGCACUAAAUAAAGUUUCCUUCUUAACUGCA